CGCGGCCUAUCAGCUUGUUGGUGAGGUAACGGCUCACCAAGGCGACGACGGGUAGCUGUUCUGAGAGGAAGAUCAGCAACACUGGAACUGAGACACGGUCCAGACACCUACGGGUGGCAGCAGUCGAGAAUCAUUCACAAUGGGGGCAACCCUGAUGGUGCAACGCCGCGUGGAGGAUGAAGGCCCUAGGGUCGUAAACUCCUGUCAUAUGAGAGUAAGGCAUAGAGGGAAUAAUACCCUUUUAUGUUUGAUAGUAUCACAAGAGGAAGGGACGGCUAACUUCGUGCCAGCAGCCGCGGUAAUACGAAGGUCCCGAGCGUUAUUCGGAAUCACUGGGCGUAAAGAGUACGUAGGCGGUUUGGUAAGUCAGGUGUGAAAUCCCGGGGCUCAACCCCGGAACUGCACCCGAUACUGCCAGACUGGAGUAAUGGAGAGGCAGGUGGAAUUCUCGGUGUAGCAGUGAAAUGCGUGGAUAUCGAGAGGAAGACCAAUGGCGAAGGCAGCCUGCUGGACAUUUACUGACGCUGAGGUACGAAGGCCAGGGUAGCGAAAGGGAUUAGAUACCCCUGUAGUCCUGGCAGUAAACGGUGCGCGCUUGGUGUGGGAGGAUUCGACCCCUUCCGUGCCGGAGCUAACGCGUUAAGCGCCCCGCCUGGGGAGUACGG
rnacentral:rRNA from 1 species